AUUGAACGCUGGCGGCAGGCCUAACACAUGCAAGUCGAACGAGUGGCGGACGGGUGAGUAAUGUCUGGGAAACUGCCCGAUGGAGGGGGAUAACUACUGGAAACGGUAGCUAAUACCGCAUACCAUCGGAUGUGCCCAGAUGGGAUUAGCUAGUAGGUGGGGUAACGGCUCACCUAGGCGACGAUCCCUAGCUGGUCUGAGAGGAUGACCAGCCACACUGGAACUGAGCCACGGCACAGACUCCAGCGAGAGGAAGCAGCGGGGAACACUGCACAAUGGGCGCAAGCCUGAUGCAGCCAUGCCGCGUAGAUGAAGAAGGCCAUCGGGUUGGAAAGUAUUGUCAGCGGGGAGGCGUGACCCGCAGAAGAAGCACCGGCUAACUCCGUGCCAGCAGCCGCGGUAAUAC
rnacentral:rRNA from 1 species